GUGGUACAUAUAAAGGGAUUAAUCUGCUUUAUUUUUCAUACUCAUGUAAUUGAUAUAUUUUAUUAUGAAUAAAAUUGAGGUAUUUUUAUUUUAUCAUAUGCUGUGUAUUGUUCUAUUAAAUUAUGAUAUACCCAAUAAAUUAGGACAAUGGUUUUAGAGUAAUAAUAAAAUAAUAUCAGUGAGACCUAAAAUCUUAAAAUCUUAAUCUAAAAUUUUUUCAGUCAUAGGAUCA
rnacentral:lncRNA from 1 species